rnacentral:rRNA from 1 species
UGAAUACGAGACGCUAAGGCGUCGAAGUAGUGUAUGUCAUACUUCCAAGAAAAGCUUGCACUGUCAUAAAUAAGAAAUGCCUGUACCAUAACCGACACAGGUGGGUAGGUAGAGUAUACUAAGGGGCGCGAGAUAACUCUCUCUAAGGAACUCGGCAAAAUAACUCCGUAACUUCGGGAGAAGGAGUGCCUUAUUUAUAAGGUUGCAAUAACAAGAUCCAAGCAACUGUUUAUCAAAAACACAGGUCUCCGCUAAGUCGCAAGACGAUGUAUGGGGGCUGACGCCUGCCCAGUGCCAGAAGGUUAAAGAAGUUGGUUAGCACUUGCGAAGCUGAUAACUGAAGCCCUGGUGAACGGCGGCCGUAACGAUAACGGUCCUAAGGUAGCGAAAUUCCUUGUCGGGUAAGUUCCGACCCGCACGAAAGGCGUAAUGAUUUGGAUACUGUCUCGGAGAGGGGCUCGGUGAAAUAGACUUGUCUGUGAAGAUGCGGACUACCUGCACCAGGACAGAAAGACCCUAUGAAGCUUUACUGUAACUUGAAAUUGAAAUUGGACUUUAUUCGCGCAGUAUAGGUGGGAGGCGUUGAUUGUAAUCUUGCGGGAUUAUUGGAGCCAUCAGUGAGAUACCACUCUUGUAAUGUUAGAUUUCUAACUUUGUAUCAUUAUCUGGUCAAAGGACAGUUUCAGGCGGGCAGUUUGACUGGGGCGGUCGCCUCCUAAACGGUAACGGAGGCGUACAAAGGUUUCCUCUGAACGGUUAGAAAUCGUAUCUAGAGUGUAAAGGCAUAAGGAAGCUUGACUGUGAGACCUACAAGUCGAGCAGGGACGAAAGUCGGUCUUAGUGAUCUGACGGUACUGAGUGGAAAGGCCGUCACUCAACGGAUAAAAGUUACUCUAGGAUAACAGGCUGAUCUCCCCCAAGAGUUCACAUCGACGGGGAGGUUUGGCACCUCGAUGUCGGCUCAUCGCAUCCUGGGGCGGUAGUACGUCCCAAGGGUUGGGCUGUUCGCCCAUGAAAGCGGUACGCGAGCUGGGUUCAGAACGUCGUGAGACAGUUCGGUCCAUAUCCGGUGUAGGCGUUAGAAUAUUGAGAGGAGCCUUCUUUAGUACGAGAGGACCGAGAAGGACAUACCUCUGGUGUACCAGUUAUCGUGCCAACGGUAAACGCUGGGUAGCUAUGUAUGGAGUGGAUAACCGCUGAAAGCAUCUAAGUGGGAAGCCCACCUCAAGAUAAGUAUUCUCA